CCUACGGGAGGCAGCAGUGAGGAAUAUUGGUCAAUGGACGAGAGUCUGAACCAGCCAAGUAGCGUGAAGGAUGACUGCCCUAUGGGUUGUAAACUUCUUUUAUAUGGGAAUAAAAUGUUCCACGUGUGGGAUUUUGUAUGUACCAUAUGAAUAAGGAUCGGCUAACUCCGUGCCAGCAGCCGCGGUAAUACGGAGGAUCCGAGCGUUAUCCGGAUUUAUUGGGUUUAAAGGGAGCGUAGGUGGAUUGUUAAGUCAGUUGUGAAAGUUUGCGGCUCAACCGUAAAAUUGCAGUUGAAACUGGCAGUCGUGAGUACAGUAGAGGUGGGCGGAAGUCGUGGUGUAGCGGUGAAAUGCUUAGAUAUCACGAAGAACUCCGAUUGCGAAGGCAGCUCACUGGACUGCAACUGACACUGAGGCUCGAAGGUGUGGGUAUCAAACAGGAUUAGAUACCCGAGUAGUC
rnacentral:rRNA from 1 species